UACGUAGGUGGCGAGCGUUGUUCGGAAUUACUGGGCGUAAAGGGCGCGUAGGCGGCCCGCUAAGUCGAACGUGAAAUCCCCGAGCUCAACUCGGGAACUGCGUCCGAUACUGGCGGGCUUGAAUCCGGGAGAGGGAUGCGGAAUUCCAGGUGUAGCGGUGAAAUGCGUAGAUAUCUGGAGGAACACCGGUGGCGAAGGCGGCAUCCUGGACCGGCAUUGACGCUGAGGCGCGAAAGCUAGGGGAGCAAACGGG
rnacentral:rRNA from 1 species